CAGCAGCCGCGGUAAUACGUAGGUGGCAAGCGUUGUCCGGAAUUAUUGGGCGUAAAGCGCGCGCAGGCGGUUUCUUAAGUCUGAUGUGAAAGCCCCCGGCUCAACCGGGGAGGGUCAUUGGAAACUGGGGAACUUGAGUGCAGAAGAGGAGAGUGGAAUUCCACGUGUAGCGGUGAAAUGCGUAGAGAUGUGGAGGAACACCAGUGGCGAAGGCGACUCUCUGGUCUGUAACUGACGCUGAGGCGCGAAAGCGUGGGGAGCGAACAGGAUUAGAUACCCUGGUAGUCCACGCCCGUAAACGAUGAGUGGUAAGUGUUAGAGGGUUUCCGCCCUUUAGUGCUGCAGCAAACGCAUUAAGCACUCCGCCUGGGGAGUACGGUCGCAAGACUGAAACUCAAAGGAAUUGAGGGG
rnacentral:rRNA from 1 species